GCGGUUAUAGCUCAGUUGGUUAGAGCGCCACACUGAUAAUGUGGAGGUCGGCAGUUCAAGUCUUGGUAACCGCA
rnacentral:tRNA from 1 species